UCCCUGGUGGUCCAGUGGUUAAGACUCAGCGCUUUCACAGCUGUGGCCCAGGUUCAAUCCCUGGUCAGGGAA